rnacentral:rRNA from 1 species
GAAUUUUAUAUGAUUAUUUAUGUGAUUUUUAUAUUUAUAAAGUAGAGAGAUAGAAUAAAUAAUUAAUAUUUAAUUGGGAGGAUUAUUAAAUUUAAUAAACUUUAAAUAAAAUUAAAAUUUAAAUUAAUAAAUAAUAAUUUUUAGAAUGAUUAAUAAAUUAAGUAAAAAUUAAUUACCUUAGGGAUAACAGCGUAAUAUUUUUAAAGAGUUCUUAUUGAUAAAAAUGAUUGC